rnacentral:rRNA from 1 species
AGCGAACGCUGGCGGCAGGCCUAACACAUGCAAGUCGAACGAAGUCUUCGGACUUAGUGGCGGACGGGUGAGUAACACGUGGGAACGUGCCUUUAGGUUCGGAAUAACUCAGGGAAACUUGUGCUAAUACCGAAUGUGCCCUUCGGGGGAAAGAGUUAUCGCCUUUAGAGCGGCCCGCGUCUGAUUAGCUAGUUGGUGAGGUAAAGGCUCACCAAGGCGACGAUCAGUAGCUGGUCUGAGAGGAUGAUCAGCCACAUUGGGACUGAGACACGGCCGAAACUCCUACGGGAGGCAGCAGUGGGGAGUCAUGCGCAAUGGGCGAAAGCCUGACGCAGCCAUGCCGCGGGAAUGAUGAAGGUCUUAGGAUUGUAAAAUUCUUUCACCGGGGACGAUAAUGACGGUACCCGGAGAAGAAGCCCCGGCUAACUUCGUGCCAGCAGCCGCAGUAAAAC